UUCAGGAUUUUAGCUUAGGGUUCUUAGAGUAAUCGUGCUGAUAACGUGUUGUGAAACUUAGGAGAAUAGAAUCUUAUUUUUGUUUCUGUAUUAUUCAUAAACAUAAGGAGCCCUUUAUAUAUAGGAAUUACACCGUCAUAGAAUAAUAGAAAGACUAAAGAAAGAAAAUACAAAUAUGGAAAAAGUACAAAUCAUAGAUC
rnacentral:lncRNA from 1 species